GUGUUGCUGUAUGGUUGUGGUUGUGUUGUAACACAUAACAGACAAUAUAAUUACCGACAAAUAAAUCAUUAAAAAAAAGAGAAGAUAGCAUCCGGUUGAGUCUGUUCAUAAUCUCUAUUGCUGAGCCGUAGAAGUGGAGCUCCAGUGGCGCAAUCGGUUAGCGCGCGGUACUUAUAUGACAGUACAUUGUAGAGCUAUGCCGAGGUUGUGAGUUCGAGCCUCACCUGGAGCAGUAUUUUUACUGCUGCAGAAUAGGUAUUAGCCGUUGAACUUGAGAUAACGUUGAAUACAUGAAACAGACGCUCAGUACCUACCUCGACUGUCAGUGACUGACAAUUAAGCAGUGUAGACAAAGACGGUAUCAGCUCCAGAUGACAAACCUACACUGUCCAAGGGUUGCAGGACCUGAGCCCUAGGACCAUGUCUCAGGACUACCUGGCAUGAUGACUCCUUGCUGUCCCCAGUCCACCUGGCCAUGUUGUUGCUCCAGUUUCAAUUGUUCUGCCUGCGGCUAUGGAAUCCUGACCUGUUCACCGGACGUGCUACCUGUCCCAGACCUGCUCUUUUCAACUCUCUAGAGACAGCAGGAGUGGUAGAGAUACUCUUAAUGAUCGGCUAUGAAAAGCCAACUGACAUUUACUCCUGAGGUGCUGACUUGCUGCACCCUUAACAACUACUGUGAUUAUUAUUAUUUGACCAUGCUGGUCAUUUAUGAACAUC